GACAAACGCUGGCGGCGUGCCUAAUACAUGCAAGUCGAACGGGGAAAGCUUUCGGGUGAGUACUAGUGGCGCACGGGUGAGUAACGCGUGGAUAAUCUGCCUUAGAGUGGGGGAUAACUAGUCGAAAGAUUAGCUAAUACCGCAUAAGACCACAAGAACUGCGGUUCAAGGGGUCAAAGGUUUUUCGCUCUAAGAUGAGUCCGCGUAAGAUUAGCUAGUUGGUAAGGUAAUGGCUCACCAAGGCGACGAUCUUUAACUGGUCUGAGAGGAUGAUCAGUCACACUGGAACUGAGACACGGUCCAGACUCCUACGGGAGGCAGCAGUAGGGAAUAUUGCACAAUGGAGGAAACUCUGAUGCAGCGACGCCGCGUGAGUGGUGAAGGCCUUCGGGUCGUAAAGCUCUGUCGCAAGGGAAUAACACAAUGAAUGUACCUUGCAAGAAAGGAUCGGCUAACUUCGUGCCAGCCGCCGCGGUAA
rnacentral:rRNA from 1 species